rnacentral:rRNA from 1 species
AUAUUCGGCAAUGGACGAAAGUCUGACCGAGCGACGCCGCGUGAGGGAUGAAGGUUUUCGGAUCGUAAACCUCUUUUGCCAAGCAGUCGAUGCUUGGAGAAUAAGCACCUACAAACUACGUGACCCCGAGAAGGGGUUUGGUGCGUAGUCAUACAGUAAUGAUAUGAAAGAAAAUCUCGCUAUAUGCUGGAACACCUUGAUAUACCGCGAAAUAUUUCCGCCACAGGGGCGGGACAUGUAUCAAGACAAUCAGCAGGCAACCUGCAAUACUUUGUAUUGAACAAUUCACAAUUAACUAUUAACAAUUAACUAGAUUGAAUUUCUUCUGGUUAAUAGUUUCCUGUUGAAAGUUAAAGGUUCACGAAGUGCAGAGAGUCCUCAGAGACUACACGCGAGACUCCAUCAAAUGGUGAUGGAUGAUGAUAUAGUCCAAUGUUUUACACAUUUGUAUUACGUGUGUAAGGCCAGCAGUCGCGGUAAUACGUAGGGUGCAAGCGUUAUCCGGAUUCACUGGGCGUAAAGUGUCGUGUAGGCGGUAUACCGCAUCGUGUCUGAAAGCCCGAGGCUUAACCUCGGCGUUGGACACGAGAUGGGUAAACUUAGAGGAAUGGAGAGGAAAGGGGAACUCAUGGUGAAGCAGUGAAAUGCGUUGAUAUCAUGAGGAACACCGAAGGCGAAGGCACCUUUCUGGCCAUUAACUGACGCUGAGACACGAAAGCUAGGGGAGCGAAGCAGAUUAGAGACCUGCGUAGUCCUAGCCCUAAACGCAUGUCUGCUAGAUGCCCUGCCGCAAGGCGGGGUGUCGUAAGCUAACGCGUUAAGCAGACCGCCUGGGGACUACGAGCGCAAGCUUAAAACUCAAAGGAAUUGACGGGGACCCGCACAACCAGUGGAGCGUGUGGUUCAAUUCGAGACAAAGCGAAGGACCUCACCAGGGUUUGACAUGUUACCGUUUUAACCACCCAGAAAUGGGAGGCUAUCCGCAAGGAUGGUAGCACAGCUGCUGCAUGGCUGUCGUCAGCUCGUGCCGUGGGGUGUUCCCUUAAGUGGGACAACGAGCGCAACCCCUAUCCGAUGUUACAAGUGUCAUCGGAGACCGCCCCCUCUCAAAGUGUUGAAGCAUAUGAACGAUAAACGAAAACAACGAGAAUAACGAAAACAACAACCUGUUUUGUUAUUUUCGUUUGUUGUUGAAUUGUUUAUAGUUCAAAAAGCUUUCAGCUUUUUGAGAGGGGGAGGAAGGAGGGGACGACGUCAAGUCAGCACGGCGCUUAUGCCCUGGGCCACACACACCCUACAAUGGCGAACAACAACGGGACGCAAGGUAGUAAUGCCAAGCAAAUCUCUGAAAUUUCGCCUCAAUUCAGAUUGAGGUCUGCAACUCGACCUCAUGAAGUUGGAAUUGGUAGUAAUCGCGGAUCAGCAGGCCGCGGUGAAUACGUUCCCGGGUCUUGUACACACCGCCCGUCAAGCCACCAAAGUUGAAGGCGGCCGAAUAUCUAUUUAUAGGUAGAAGCCGAAUUUAGCGAUGGGGACUAAGUCGUAACAAGGUAUCCCUAGCCGAAGCUGGGGAUG